rnacentral:lncRNA from 1 species
AUGAAAGUUGCAAAGUUUACAUUUAACAUAAGACAGAACUAAUAUUUUCAUGAGAAAUGUCUAACCUUUAGAUAAACAAAAUCACAAAAAAGUAGACUUUCUAGAAAUCAAAAUGGUUCUUGAUAUUGAACCCAUUAAAGGCAAAAGUUGCAAAGUCUACAUUCAACAUAAGACACAACUACUAUUUUCAUGAGAAAUGUCUACUAUUUAGAUGAGCAAAAUCACAAAAAAGUAGACAUUCUGGAAAUCAAAAUUGUUUUUGAGAUUGAAUCAAUAAAAAUUCACAAAAUGAAAAUUAACUUUCUGAUGUGAUCAUUAUAGUGAAACAUGGCUAUGGUAUAAAAUUUAACUGGAUUCAACAAUGUUCGCAGCUCGAUCAAAGCGGUGAACCCUAAUUCAUCUUCAUUUAUCACACGAAAACUAUCUUACAUAACUCUUUGUGACCUUAUUUCGUCAAUUCUUCAACACAAUAAUGUCUCACAUAGAUGAGACAUAACCACCCAUGUAAAACUUUGGGGACGUUUACCACCCGAGGAUAGGGCUCUCCUUAUUGAAGCAUAAGCUUAAAUAGGGUUGACCGUUUCGAUCGGGGCCCAAACAUUGGCGAAUUAAAGUGAUUUUCCUACCGUAGCCGUAUUUUACUAUACCGAUCAUAUCCUAUUUCAUGAGAUUUUUGAAAAUUUUGCUUCCUCUAUAUAGUUGGUUAACAAAGUUGUACACUAGCAUAUAACCUACCAAACAAGUUAUACCACAUUAGUAGACACGUUAUGAUUCCGAUGACUAAAAUUCACAAAAUAAAAAUUGACCAUAUGAUGUGAUCAUUAUAGUGAAACAUGGCUAUGGUAUAAAUUCAACUGGAUUCAACAAUGUUUGGGGCUCGAUCAAAGCGGUCAACCCUAAUUCAUUUUCACUUAUCACACGAAAAUUAUCUUACCUACCUCUUUGUGACCUAGUUUGGUGGAUUCUUCAACACAAUAAAGUGUCACAUAGAUGAGACAUAACAACCCAUGUAAAACUUUGGGGCCGUUUACCACCCGAGGAUAGGGCUCUCCUUAGUGAAGCACAAGCGUAAAUAAGGUUGACCGCUUCGAUCGGGGCCCAAACAUUGGCGAAUUAAAGUGAUUUUCCUACUGUACCUGUAUUUUAUUAUAUCGAUCACAUCAUAUUUCACAAGAUUUUUGAAAAUUUUGCUUCCUCUAUAUAGUUGGUUUACAAAGUUGUACACUAGCAUAUAAAGGCACGUUAUGAUUCCGAUGACUAAAAUUCACAAAAUGAAAAUUGACCAUCUGAUGUGAUCAUUAUAGUGAAACAUGGCUAUGGUAUAAAAUUCAACUGGAUUCAACAAUGUUCGGGGCUCGAUCAAAGCGGUCAACCACAAUUCAUCUUCACUUAUCACACGAAAACUAUCUUACCUACCUUUUUGUGACCUAUUUUGGUGGAUUCUUCAACACAAUAAAGUCUCACAUAGAUGAGACAUAACCACCCAUGUAAAACUUUGGGGACGUUUACCACCCGAGGAUAGGGCUCUCCUUAGUGAAGCAUAAACGUAAAUAGGGUUGACUGCUUCGAUCGGGGCUCAAACAUUGGCGAAUUAAAGUGAUUUUUCUACCGUAACCGUAUUUUACUAUACCGAUCACAUCCUAUUUCACAAGAUUUUUGAAAAUUUUGCUUCCUCUAUAUAGUUGGUUCACAAAGUUGUACAUUAGCAUAUAACCUACCAAACUAGUUAUAUCACAUUAGUAGGUACGUUGUGAUUCCGAUGACUAAAAUUCAGACGCAGUUGGGAAGUGGGUCCCGCCAGUGGUCCGUGACAUUUUUCGGUGAAUUUUUCCGACAGUAGAGCUAUUUUCUAUGCAUUUUUAAAGUUUUGAAAUGGUGGAAAAAUGUAAAACUUUAAUGAUAUGGACAGAUUAGUGACUUAAGACGAAUGAGGUCGCGACAUGUGGUAAUUAGUGUUGAAUUUUCAGAAAAGGAAUCCCCCGAAAUGGAAACUUACCAUUUCUUUUAUAGUAGAUUUCCAUAAAUAGUAACUUUCGUUUUUAAAGUAUAACUAUCUCCCCAAAAUGAAAACUUACCCUUACUUUUAUAGUUGAUUUCCAUAAAUAGUAUUUUUUGUUUUUAGAGCAUAACUAUCCCCCUAAAAUGGAAACUUACCAUUCCUUUUAUAGUUGAUUUCCAUAAAUAGUAACUUUCAGAAAGUCUACUUUUGCAUGUCAGUUAGCUCAUGUUAUUAGUACACCUAACUCAUGUUAAUAGUAGACUUAACUCAUAUUAAUAGUAUCAUUUUGCUCAUCCAAAUGAUAAACAUUUCUCAUGAAAAAAGUAAUUAUGUC